rnacentral:rRNA from 1 species
GACGUAGGGGGCGAGCGUUGUCCGGAUUCAUUGGGCGUAAAGCGCGCGUAGGCGGUUCGGCAAGUCGGAGGUGAAAACCCGGAGCUCAACUCCGGGCCUGCAUCCGAUACUCCCGGACUAGAGGUAGGUAGGGGAGAUCGGAAUUCCUGGUGUAGCGGUGAAAUGCGCAGAUAUCAGGAGGAACACCGGUGGCGAAGGCGGAUCUCUGGGCCUUACCUGACGCUCAGGCGCGAAAGCUAGGGGAGCGAACAGG